rnacentral:rRNA from 1 species
GACGAACGCUGGCGGCGUGCUUAACACAUGCAAGUCGAACGGCAACGCCCUGCUUUCGUGGUGUGCUCGAGUGGCGAACGGGUGAGUAACACGUGAGUAACCUGCCCUUGACUUUGGGAUAACUUCAGGAAACUGGGCUUAUGCCCAGACCGCACCCCCCCUGCCUGGGUGGGGAUGGGAACUUUUGGCGGUUGGGGAUGGAAUCGGGGGUUAUCGGCUUGCUGGGGGGGUGGUGGCUUACCAAGGCUGUGGACGGUAGCCGGCCUGGGAGGGGGGACGGCCACAUGGGGACUGAGAUACGGCGCAGACGCCUACGGGAGGCAGCAGUGGGGAAUAUUGCACAACGGGCGGAAGCCUGAUGCAGCAGCGCCGCGUGCGGGAUGACGGCCUUCGGGGUGUAAACCGCUUUCGCCUGUGACGAAGCGUGAGUGACGGUAAUGGGUAAAGAAGCACCGGCUAACUACGUG